AUUAAGCCAAUGACAGCAGGACAGACAAGCGGCUUGUGCAGCGAGUCCACCCGAAAAGUGCAACUAUUUUCUACUUCUGUCUUGAUGGUGAUGUAAUACGACAAUGGGAGAAGUACACCUGGUCGUGGAUGACAAUAUAGGAUUGACAAACACUCUGACAUUAAGUACCACUGACCAGUGGUUGCAUCCACAAAUAAGAACAACCGCCAUCGGGACAAACAACUGACUUUAUGAAAUGACGAGUUAUCAAGCACUGCUGCGGAAAGAAUAUAAAUUUAUGAAUUUGAUCGAUUGUAUAGUAAAAUAUUGGUGUACAGUCCUGAUCAAUUACGGAGUAACUCUGAACCGAAUAAUAAACUCCACAAUAAAGAUCGAGUGUCCAGAAUGGUUUUUAUCGGUUUCAUCGCUCUAAAAGAUAACGAUAUGCCAAAUUUUAUGAUAAUAGUCAUCAAAUAAAAGAAAGAUGAUGGAGCUGGCAUGAAUGAUGUUUUCUCAUAAAUAAUUUAAGUCUGGAUCAAGGAGAGGUGUAGUUCGCUGAUCGAUAACAGAGUGAUGUCGGACGCUGCCGAAACCUACAAAAAUACUAGCUUCAAAACUUGUACUAGUAGUAUAUCUAAGCUUUAAAUACUAGCAGGAUAUAAUAAGUAAAAGCUUCAAAUUUCAGGGGGAAAUAAUUUGACUAUGACCAUAGUUUCGUUUAUUUCAAAGGUCAAGUACUAUUUUAAAAUAGUAAACAGUGUUUGAAAGAGAAAAUAUUAAUAAAAGAAUUUUUAGUCUC
rnacentral:sRNA from 1 species